rnacentral:rRNA from 2 species
GCAAGUCGAGCGGACAGAUGGGAGCUUGCUCCCUGAUGUUAGCGGCGGACGGGUGAGUAACACGUGGGUAACCUGCCUGUAAGACUGGGAUAACUCCGGGAAACCGGGGCUAAUACCGGAUGGUUGUUUGAACCGCAUGGUUCAAACAUAAAAGGUGGCUUCGGCUACCACUUACAGAUGGACCCGCGGCGCAUUAGCUAGUUGGUGAGGUAACGGCUCACCAAGGCAACGAUGCGUAGCCGACCUGAGAGGGUGAUCGGCCACACUGGGACUGAGACACGGCCCAGACUCCUACGGGAGGCAGCAGUAGGGAAUCUUCCGCAAUGGACGAAAGUCUGACGGAGCAACGCCGCGUGAGUGAUGAAGGUUUUCGGAUCGUAAAGCUCUGUUGUUAGGGAAGAACAAGUACCGUUCGAAUAGGGCGGUACCUUGACGGUACCUAACCAGAAAGCCACGGCUAACUACGUGCCAGCAGCCGCGGUAAUACGUAGGUGGCAAGCGUUGUCCGGAAUUAUUGGGCGUAAAGGGCUCGCAGGCGGUUUCUUAAGUCUGAUGUGAAAGCCCCCGGCUCAACCGGGGAGGGUCAUUGGAAACUGGGGAACUUGAGUGCAGAAGAGGAGAGUGGAAUUCCACGUGUAGCGGUGAAAUGCGUAGAGAUGUGGAGGAACACCAGUGGCGAAGGCGACUCUCUGGUCUGUAACUGACGCUGAGGAGCGAAAGCGUGGGGAGCGAACAGGAUUAGAUACCCUGGGUAGUCCACGCCGUAAACGAUGAGUGCUAAGUGUUAGGGGGUUUCCGCCCCUUAGUGCUGCAGCUAACGCAUUAAGCACUCCGCCUGCGGAGUACGGUCGCAGGACUGAAACUCAAGGAAUUGACGGGGCCCGCACAAGCGUGGAGCAUGUGGUUUAAUUCAAAGCAACGCUAGACAUACCAGUCUGGCAUGCUCUGACAUCUAGAGAUAGACGUCGCAUCCGCAGAGUGACAGUGAUGCAAGGUGUCG